CAUGCAAGGUCGAGGGGCAGCGGGGGUAGCAAUACCUGCCGGCGACCGGCAAACGGGUGCGGAACACGUACGCAACCUUCCUUUAACUGGAGAAUAGCCCCUCGAAAGAGGGAUUAAUACUCCGUAACAUAUUGAUAAGGCAUCUUAUUAAUAUUAUAGUCUUCGGACGGUUAAAGAUGGGCGUGCGCCUGAUUAGAUAGUUGGUGAGGUAACGGCUCACCAAGUCUGCGAUCAGUAACUGGUGUGAGAGCACGACCAGUCACACGGGCACUGAGACACGGGCCCGACUCCUACGGGAGGCAGCAGUAAGGAAUAUUGGUCAAUGGACGCAAGUCUGAACCAGCCAUGCCGCGUGGAGGAUUAAGGCCCUCUGGGUUGUAAACUCCUUUUAUCUGGGAAGAAAUGCCAUUUUUCUAAAUGGUUUGACGGUACCAGAGGAAUAAGCACCGGCUAACUCCGUGCCAGCAGCCGCGGUAAUACGGAGGGUGCAAGCGUUAUCCGGAUUCACUGGGUUUAAAGGGUGCGUAGGCGGGCANGUAAGUCCGUGGUGAAAUCUCUUGAGCUUAACUCAGAAACUGCCAUGGAUACUAUUUGUCUUGAAUACUGUGGANGUAAGCCGGCAAUAUGGUCAUGUCGCGGUGAAAUGCUUUA
rnacentral:rRNA from 1 species